rnacentral:lncRNA from 1 species
AGAGGGGAAGGCCAUGUGAAGGCAGAGAAUGGAGUGACGCAGCCACAAACCAAGCAAUGCCUGGAGCCACCAGAAGCUGGAAGAGGCAAGGAAGGGACUCUUCUUCAGAGGGAGCAGGGCCCUGCCCACACCUUAGCUUCAGACUUCUAGCCUCCAGAACUGGGAGAGAAGAAAUGUCUGUUGUUUGAAGCCACCCAGCUGUGGCACUUUAUUACGGCAGCACGGGAAAUGCAUACAGCCUCCAAAAGAGAACGAAGCCCUUCUGAGAGCUUGAUUCCAGACAUGCAAGACCCUGAGCCCACCGCGCCUGGGUUUCUGCCUACAGAACUGUGAGAUAAUCCAUGGUUGUUUUACGCCACUCCAAUUGCAAUAAGACAGUGAGGAUGUCAUGUGAGUGACCAGCAAGGCAUGUGGCCCAACCAGACAGCCAGGGAAGGCCUUUAACGAGUAACUUGAGGCUGAGAGUGAGGUGGUGAGUUGUGGAGAAAGUCCCAGCUCAGGGUUCACUGUGGACCAACAGCUCUUUACUGUGGGGUACUACCUUCCUGGAGAAUUUCCUGGAGAGUAUAAGGCCUGACGUGGGCCUUCAAAUAUCUCAACAAGAACAAUAAAUCCCUCCAGAAAACCAUAUUACUCCACUUUCUUUCCAAAGGAAAUUCAAGUCUGUUGAAAUGCUUGCUCUAAAACAGUUUCCAGUGAUAUUAAACAAAUUCGUGGCUCUCAGAAUACCUUGGGUGAUGAUCAAUAAGAGUUGUAUGUGCUUUACAUGCUGAUAAUCACACCUAACCCACAGCAUUUGUCUGAUGCCUAAGUGGGCUCAGAUUUGCCCAAGGCUCUGGUCCAAGGACCUCUGAGGGACACAGCCUCGUCACUCAGACAGGAGAGCCCAACUCAGUGACAAACAAAGGCCAAGGGAUUCUGCACAUGAAGACAAAACAGAGUCUUCCUUCUCAACUAGAGAAUGGCUUAUCUAAGAAAAAAAUCAACUGGAGAGAAAAAAAAAGUGAGGAUGUCAGCAUUUAACAGGAAUCUUGAAACUUUGACAGGAAGGGUGACCCUUUUCGGUCAAUCUGAAAUGUAUGCAGACAGGUCACAGAUAUAUUCCAAAUACAUUUUUUUAAUUGCUAAAUAUGUUUAAAGAAGAUUUUUAAAAUAAAACUCAAUGGACCAGUUUAUACACUGCAAAUUCAUUACAUUUUUCCAACCACGCAGAGCUAGGCUUAAACUCAACUAUACUGAAGGUUAAACUCAACUAUUACCAGUGUUAUUCUAUCCCAAAGAAUGAGCCAGGUCUAAGCUGAUGUUUCCUCCUGUUGUGACAAUAAGAACUUUCCCCAUUGUCUUCCACCUUUCCCCUUCUCGCUCCAUUUCCACCUCUCCAUCGCGCAGGGAAGGCAGAUUAGAGUUCACUAGAAACACAAUACCUGAAACAUAAAGGCCUCACACCUACCCGCCUAGGAGUACAGCUCAGAUGAUCUUUCUAAUAAGGAGUGGCAAUGGAGCUUGCAGGCCGAAGAAACUAUAACUUGGGUGUGAUUGACAAGAGCUUAGGCUAACACAUGCCUGCUUCUAUAAUUAUAUUGUUUGUCUAGAGAGAAAAAACAAAAAAACAAUAAAUCAUCCAGCGGUGCAUGACUGGCUUAGUUCUCUGUCUCUCUCUCACUGGGAAACUCACGAUGAAGUUCUUCCAGGAAGAGGUUGCAACCCCACCUGCCCACCAUUCUCCAUGACACCUGUCACUGACCAAGAUGCAAGAAACACAUGGGCCCCUGCAAAAUCUCUCGAUUCAUUUUACUGUUUCUUGGUGAACUGACUUGUAUUAUCUCCCUUUUCGCUACCCUUAUUAGUUUCCUACAA